rnacentral:rRNA from 1 species
ACGCUGGCGGCAGGCUUAACACAUGCAAGUCGAACGGUAACAGGAGAAAGCUUGCUUUCUUGCUGACGAGUGGCGGACGGGUGAGUAAUGCUUGGGAAUCUGGCUUAUGGAGGGGGAUAACGACGGGAAACUGUCGCUAAUACCGCGUAGAGUCGAGAGACGAAAGUGCGGGACCGCAAGGCCGCAUGCCAUAGGAUGAGCCCAAGUGGGAUUAGGUAGUUGGUGGGGUAAUAGCCUACCAAGCCGACGAUCUCUAGCUGGUCUGAGAGGAUGACCAGCCACACCGGGACUGAGACACGGCCCGGACUCCUACGGGAGGCAGUAGUGGGGAAUAUUGCGCAAUGGGGGCAACCCUGACGCAGCCAUGCCGCGUGAAUGAAGAAGGCCUUCGGGUUGUAAAGUUCUUUCGGUAUUGAGGAAGGUUGUUGUGUUAAUAGCACGACAAAUUGACGUUAAAUACAGAAGAAGCACCGGCUAACUCCGUGCCAGCAGCCGCGGUAAUACGGAGGGUGCGAGCGUUAAUCGGAAUAACUGGGCGUAAAGGGCACGCAGGCGGACUUUUAAGUGAGGUGUGAAAUCCCCGGGCUUAACCUGGGAAUUGCAUUUCAGACUGGGAGUCUAGAGUACUUUAGGGAGGGGUAGAAUUCCACGUGUAGCGGUGAAAUGCGUAGAGAUGUGGAGGAAUACCGAAGGCGAAGGCAGCCCCUUGGGAAUGUACUGACGCUCAUGUGCGAAAGCGUGGGGAGCAAACAGGAUUAGAUACCCUGGUAGUCCACGCUGUAAACGCUGUCGAUUUGGGGAUUGGGCUUUAAGCUUGGUGCCCGAAGCUAACGUGAUAAAUCGACCGCCUGGGGAGUACGGCCGCAAGGUUAAAACUCAAAUGAAUUGACGGGGGCCCGCACAAGCGGUGGAGCAUGUGG